AUGUACUGCUCCUACAUUCCGGUUCAGAGCGCGCUGUCCGCGCCCAGCUGACGACUGCCGGCUCCGUUUUGUCAGCC
rnacentral:sRNA from 4 species